rnacentral:tRNA from 1 species
GGGGAUAUAGCUCAGUUGGUAGAGUGCUUGCCUAGCAUGCAUAAGGCCCUGGGUUCAAUCCCCGGCACCA